rnacentral:rRNA from 1 species
UUAGCCUGCCCAAUGAAUUUUUAAAUGGCUGCAGUAUUUUGACUGUACUAAGGUAGCAUAAUCAAUAGUUUUUUAAUUGAAAGCUGGAAUGAAAGGCUGGACGAGAAAGAAACUGUCUCUUUAUAAAUAUAUUAAAAUUUUAUUUUUAAGUUAAAAAGCUUAAAUUAAAUUAAAAGACGAGAAGACCCUAUAGAGUUUUAUAUAAAUAUUAAAAAUUUAUUUAUAGAAUUUUAAAUAAAUUUUUAAUAUUUUUAUUUUAUUGGGGUGAUGAAAAAAUUUAAUAAACUUUUUUUUAAAAAAACAUAAAUGUAUGAAUUUUUGAUCCAAAAAUAUUUGAUUAAAAGAUUAAAUUACCUUAGGGAUAACAGCGUAAUUUUUUUAAAGAGUUCUUAUUGAUAAAAAAGUUUGCGACCUCGAUGUUGGAUUAAAAUUUUAUUUUAGGUGAAGAAGCUAUAAAAUUUGGUCUGUUCGACCAUUAAAAUUUUACAUGAUCUGAGUUUAAACCGGUGU